rnacentral:lncRNA from 1 species
AGCUUCCUCUCCAAUUACGGUGAGGGGCACACACCUUGAAGGUCUCUUUGAAUUGCGGCCGCCAGCCCCUGCCCCCUCCCCUCUCCUCCGCCCCCUCCGCCGGGCCAUUCAUCGCUACAUUAGGGAGGAGGCAGAGGGUGACAAUGCUCCCCCAAGUUCACUUCUCGCUUGUUACAGGCGACCCAUUUAGAGCUGAAUGACAAUGUUCAGAGACAGCUCUAAAUGACACCCUCCACCUCUUCACGGAGCCACUUGGUUUUGUCUUUUUUUUUUUUUUUUUGUAUCCCGGAGAAAUAAUUGAUAAACCUAACGGCCGGCCACCUUAAAGCUGGGCGCCUCCCUGGCCACCUGGUUAAAAUUCCUCCUCCGCUCCCCACCUCCCCACAUCCAUUUUGCUCUGUGCUGUUUAAACAAUACUUCAUCAAAUGCAGCCUGGAGCAAAUAAGAAAGCUCAGUAGAGUAAAUAAAAAGUCAAAAAAAAAAUCACCGGCUGGAGGGCAAGAUGCUUCCUCAGACAUGCUUCCUCAGUGCACCAGGCAGAAACUGGAGAAAGAUUACAAUUCAACAUGGCAAAUGCUAAAACAGAGGCCUACAGUGCAGAAACGUGUAGACCAUGGCCCAGACUCCUCACAUUCGGGACAGAGACAGCUCCUUGGCACAACAGGCAUACCUCAUUUUGUGUAA